ACACGUAGGGGGCGAGCGUUGUUCGGAAUCAUUGGGCGUAAAGGGUGCGCAGGCGGCUUGGCAAGUCUGGUGUAAAAUGGUUGUGCUCAACACAAUCAUGCGCUGGAAACUGUUGGGCUUGAGUCAACGAGGGGAUGCCGGAAUUCCAGGUGUAGGGGUGAAAUCUGUAGAUAUCUGGAAGAACACCAAUGGCGAAGGCAAGCAUCUGGCGACUGACUGACGCUGAGGCACGCAGGGGCGGGGAGCAAACAGGUUUAGAUACCCUGGUAGUCCGCACAGUAAACGAUGUGCACCAGGUGGCGGGCAGCAGUGCUCGGUACCGAAGCAAACGCAUUAAGUGCACCGCCUGGGGAGUAUGCUCGCAAGGGUGAAACUCAAAUGAAUUGACGGGG
rnacentral:rRNA from 1 species